rnacentral:rRNA from 1 species
GAUGAACGCUGGCGGCGUGCCUAAUACAUGCAAGUCGAGCGAACAGACGAGGAGCUUGCUCCUCUGACGUUAGCGGCGUACGGGUGAGUAACACGUGGAUAACCUACCUAUAAGACUGGGAUAACUUCGUGAAACCGGAGCUAAUACCGGAUAAUAUAUUGAACCGCAUGGUUCAAUAGUUAAAGACGGUUUUGCUGUCACUUCUAGAUGGAUCCUCGUCGCAUUAGCUAGUUGGUACGGUAACGGCUUACCAAGGCAACGAUGCGUAGCCGACCUGGGAGGGGGAACGGCGACACUGGGACUGAGACACGGCCCAGACUCCUAGGGGAGGCAGAAGUAGGGAAUGUUCCGAAAUGGGCGAAAGACUGACGGAGCAACGCAGCGUGAGUGAUGAAGGUCUUCGGAUCGGAAAACUCUGUUAUUAGGGAAGAACAAAUGUGUAAGUAACUAUGCACGUCGUGACGGUACCUAAACAGAAAGCCACGGCUAACUACGUG